UGCAGAUGAUGUCAAGAAUAUUUGCUAUCUUAGUAGUCAUGCUGACACCCACCAAGAUCACUGAUGCA